CCACACUAGACAAUUCCAGAGAGUACAACUGUCAUGACACAGAAGCAAAAAACACCCCACAUAAAAGAAAUUUACAAAAAUAUCCUUGAGGGGGUUGAUUGCACAGCCAAAUCUUUGCCUGCCACCGUCCACAAGCAACACCGUCGCCGGAGUAGGAGACAAACACCGCACGCUGAACAGCCGUCGGAGCACCAUCGCAUCACUGCUUUGUGAGCCGAAGAAAGCACCGCCGCAAACGGCAGAGCACAUAUCGAUGUGGAGCGUCGGCCGGGGUUCAACCCCGUGCACCUUGGGCCUCAAAUUCGGUGUCUUCACCCAACAAAAUUGACGAAGAACACCAGAUUUGCCUGCCUGCAUCCCCCAAACCAGUGCCAAAACAAGCAAUUUCUGGAAACCAUCACCACCACGUAGAUCAGCAGUCUACGGCAUAAACCUGUACAGGACGCUUUCCACCCGCUCCUCAACGCCUCCCGGAGAAGAAGCAUUGCGAUAGGGCCAGAGCGGGGAACACCUUAUUCUACGCAGCAGCGCCGCCUCCAUCAAGACGCUACUGUCCAGAAGAAACUAACCCUAGACUACCUACGGCCAAGCACGAGCACUGGAAUCCCCCACUCCAACCGCCGCCGCCGGAGCAGCAGACGGAGUAGAGAGGGAUUCACGGGCCGGCCGGCCUGGACGACGGGGACUUGGUCGCUUCCCUCUUCGCCUCGCGUGAGAGUAGGGAAAGGGGAACGAAGCGGUUCCUGCCGCCGUGCAUUCGAGCAGAAGUUAGGGCUAAACAGGGCGCCCACACCACCAAGCAAAACAAAAGGAGCCGCUGGCUGAGCGCAAGGCUAAGGCCAGAUCGAGCAGGAUAUUUAAUUUAGGCAUCACCGACCAAUCAAUGUCAAUCACAGGUGCGCCCAAGCCAUACAAGAUUUGUUUUAUGCUAAAAAAAUUUCAAUCAAAUACAUUAGUGGCUAAUGAGUAUACUGAACAUGUGCAUCGUUCUCCAGUUAAUUAGCAAAAUUGCUAUAUGUUCAUUCUCAACGGGUGAAGUAUUUGGGGAAGAUAGUUCGUAUGAUAUAUUCUCAAAUAUUGUAGGAAAUAACACAUAUAUAAAGCAUGCAAUUUUGUAAAAGUGUAUGCUCUAACCAAUGCAACCAAAAGACCGAUCUGAUAAAAGAGACUAGGCAAUACAUUUAUAUGUCAACACUCUCCCUAACGUAUGGCUCCCUCGGACCUAAACAUGAACCGAAAAUGGGCUGCAAUUUAAU
rnacentral:lncRNA from 1 species